rnacentral:rRNA from 1 species
AGAGUUUGAUCCUGGCUCAGAUUGAACGCUGGCGGCAGGCCUAACACAUGCAAGUCGAGCGGUAGAGAGAAGCUUGCUUCUCUUGAGAGCGGCGGACGGGUGAGUAAUGCCUAGGAAUCUGCCUGGUAGUGGGGGAUAACGUUCGGAAACGGACGCUAAUACCGCAUACGUCCUACGGGAGAAAGCAGGGGACCUUCGGGCCUUGCGCUAUCAGAUGAGCCUAGGUCGGAUUAGCUAGUUGGUGAGGUAAUGGCUCACCAAGGCGACGAUCCGUAACUGGUCUGAGAGGAUGAUCAGUCACACUGGAACUGAGACACGGUCCAGACUCCUACGGGAGGCAGCAGUGGGGAAUAUUGGACAAUGGGCGAAAGCCUGAUCCAGCCAUGCCGCGUGUGUGAAGAAGGUCUUCGGAUUGUAAAGCACUUUAAGUUGGGAGGAAGGGCAGUAAAUUAAUACUUUGCUGUUUUGACGUUACCGACAGAAUAAGCACCGGCUAACUCUGUGCCAGCAGCCGCGGUAAUACAGAGGGUGCAAGCGUUAAUCGGAAUUACUGGGCGUAAAGCGCGCGUAGGUGGUUUGUUAAGUUGGAUGUGAAAUCCCCGGGCUCAACCUGGGAACUGCAUUCAAAACUGACUGACUAGAGUAUGGUAGAGGGUGGUGGAAUUUCCUGUGUAGCGGUGACAUGCGUAGAUAUAGGACGGAACACCAGUGGCCUAGGCGACCACCUGGACUAAUACUGACACUGAGGUGUCGAAGCGUGGG